GGCCAGACUCCUACGGGAGGCAGCAGUGGGGAAUAUUGCACAAUGGGGGAAACCCUGAUGCAGCGACGCCGCGUGAGUGAAGAAGUAUCUCGGUACGUAAAGCUCUAUCAGCAGGGAAGAAAAUGACGGUACCUGACCAAGAAGCCCCGGCUAACUACGUGCCAGCAGCCGCGGUAAUACGUAGGGGGCAAGCGUUAUCCGGAUUUACUGGGUGUAAAGGGAGCGUAGACGGCAAUACAAGUCGGAAGUGAAAUACCCGGGCUCAACCUGGGAACUGCUUUGGAAACUGUAUGGCUAGAGUGCUGGAGAGGUAAGCGGAAUUCCUAGUGUAGCGGUGAAAUGCGUAGAUAUUAGGAGGAACACCGGUGGCGAAGGCGGCUUACUGGACAGUAACUGACGUUGAGGCUCGAAAGCGUGGGGAUCAAACAGGAUUAGAUACCCCGGUAA
rnacentral:rRNA from 1 species